rnacentral:rRNA from 1 species
ACGAAGUCUUCGGACUGAGUGGCGGACGGGUGAGUAACGCGUGAGAAUCUGCCUAGAGGUCGGGGACAACCAUUGGAAACGAUGGCUAAUACCGGAUAUGCCUUACGGGGUGAAAGAUUAAUUGCCUUUAGAAGAGCUCGCGUCUGAUUAGCUAGUUGGUGAGGUAAGAGCUCACCAAGGCAGCGAUCAGUAGCUGGUCUGAGAGGAUGACCAGCCACACUGGGACUGAGACACGGCCCAGACUCCUACGGGAGGCAGCAGUGGGGAAUUUUCCGCAAUGGGCGAAAGCCUGACGGAGCAAGACCGCGUGAGGGAGGAAGGCUCUUGGGUUGUAAACCUCUUUUGUCAGGGAAGAACAAAAUGACGGUACCUGACGAAUCAGCAUCGGCUAACUCCGUGCCAGCAGCCGCGGUAAUACGGAGGAUGCAAGCGUUAUCCGGAAUUAUUGGGCGUAAAGCGUCCGCAGGUGGCUGAUCAAGUCUGCGGUCAAAGACCGGGGCUUAACCCUGGAAAGGCCGUGGAAACUGAUAGAGCUAGAGUACCGUA